rnacentral:rRNA from 1 species
UACAGAGGGGGCAAGCGUUGUCCGGAAUUAUUGGGCGUAAAGAGCUCGUAGGCGGCUUGUCGCGUCGGCUGUGAAAACCUGGGGCUCAACCCCGGGCCUGCAGCCGAUACGGGCAAGCUAGAGUUCGGUAGGGGAGACUGGAAUUCCUGGUGUAGCGGUGAAAUGCGCAGAUAUCAGGAGGAACACCGGUGGCGAAGGCGGGUCUCUGGGCCGAAACUGACGCUGAGGAGCGAAAGCGUGGGGAGCGAACAGG